rnacentral:rRNA from 1 species
GACGUAGGGCGCGAGCGUUGUCCGGAAUUAUUGGGCGUAAAGAGCUCGUAGGCGGCUUGUCGCGUCGACUGUGAAAACCCGUGGCUCAACCAUGUGGUCUGCAGUCGAUACGGGCAGGCUAGAAUUCGGUAGGGGAGACUGGAAUUCCUGGUGUAGCGGUGAAAUGCGCAGAUAUCAGGAAGAACACCCGUGGCUAAGGCGGCUCUCUAGUACGGUACUGACGCUGAGACGCGAAAGCGUGGGGAGCGAACAGG